CAGCAGCCGCGGGAACACGUAGGGCGCAAGCGUUGUCCGGAAUUAUUGGGCGUAAAGAGCUCGUAGGCGGUCUGUCGCGUCUGGUGUGAAAUCCCAAGGCUCAACCUCGGGCUUGCAUCGGGUACGGGCAGACUAGAGUGCGGUAGGGGAGACUGGAAUUCCUGGUGUAGCGGUGGAAUGCGCAGAUAUCAGGAGGAACACCGAUGGCGAAGGCAGGUCUCUGGGCCGCAACUGACGCUGAGGAGCGAAAGCAUGGGGAGCGAACAGGAUUAGAUACCCCCGUAGUCCCUGUCUCUUAUAC
rnacentral:rRNA from 1 species